UUUUUCCAUUGAAAUAUGUGGUGAUUUAAAUCUCGUGGGAUGGAUAAUCUACACCAUUCGAUGCUUUGUGGAAAAAUGUGGAAAAUAAUUUCUAUUGUGGUAAGUUCACCUGCGGCAUGAAGGCUUUUGGUUGGUCGUGUGGAACGUUGGAGCCAGUAGUGUAAGUGAUGCGGGUCUCAACUUAAGCAUCAAAUUCGAGCAGUAUAGUUUCGUGUUGGAUACUAAUCGUGAAUUGCAGGUGAUCUGUGUGAUCCAGGAAAAGUGCAGUA
rnacentral:lncRNA from 1 species